rnacentral:snRNA from 1 species
ACAGUUUAGUCUUAUGCAUCCCA